UAAGGAAUAUUGGUCAAUGGGGGCAACCCUGAACCAGCCAUGCCGCGUGCAGGAUGAAGGCCCUAUGGGUCGUAAACUGCUUUUAUACCGGAGAAAACCCGAGUACGUGUACUCGGUUGAUAGUAUGGUAAGAAUAAGCAUCGGCUAACUUCGUGCCAGCAGCCGCGGUAAGACGAAGGAUGCAAGCGUUAUCCGGAUUCAUUGGGUUUAAAGGGUGCGUAGGCGGACUUGUAAGUCAGUGGUGAAAUCUCUUUGCUUAACAAAGAAACUGCCAUUGAUACUGCAGGUCUAGAGUAUAGAUGACGUUGGCGGAAUAUGACAUGUAGUGGUGAAAUACUUAGAUAUGUCAUAGAACACCGAUUGCGAAGGCAGCUAACGAAACUAUAACUGACGCUGAGGCACGAAAGUGCGGGGAUCAAACAGGAUUAGAUACCCAAGUAGUCCCUGAGCGGGCUGGCAAGGCGCAU
rnacentral:rRNA from 1 species